CCCGUGCCAUUACCGUUCCUAUUAUUGUCCCCAACUCGAUAUCUUCGUGCACCUCAAAAAGAUAAACUACAAUGCUGACUAUGAACAAUGAAGAAUAUAGAGGUCAAAAAGGAACUCAAUGUCAUCUUUGCAGAAUUUAUCUUUACCUUGGUUGCCAUUAUGAAGAGAUGCAGAGAAAGAGUGUCUGCAUCAGUGGCUUUGACGCUGCCAAUGGCUGUCCCAACUGGGGAGGACUCAGGAAUGCGGAGGUGGAUGGU